UUAAUACGCCAGACGUACGUUCCGUCAAAACAAUACUAACUAGUGACGCUCAGAUGAAAAUGGUGUGAAAGCCAAAACAUGUACAAAGUCGAAAAGCACCGAGGACCAAAAGUUCCAAAAAAUUGUGACCAAUACGGCCAGGGCUAUCCGUCUGGGACAAGAACACCCUUAAUAUUUAUAAUUAUUCAUACUUUAGCAAACAGUAAAUUCUUUGGGAUUCUACUUUUUAGAAGAGAGGUUUUUCGUUAUUACGAUUUUUGUUCAGUGUACAGCACAUGAUACAUUAAGGGUACCUCUAUAAAAUGAUGACAUCACA
rnacentral:lncRNA from 1 species